rnacentral:rRNA from 1 species
UACGUAGGGCGCAAGCGUUGUCCGGAAUUAUUGGGCGUAAAGAGCUCGUAGGCGGUCUGUUACGUCCGCUGUGAAAACCCAGGGCUUAACCCUGGGCUUGCAGUGGAUACGGGUAGACUAGAGGCAGGUAGGGGAGAAUGGAAUUCCCGGUGUAGCGGUGAAAUGCGCAGAUAUCAGGAGGAACACCGGUGGCGAAGGCGGAUCUCUGGGCCAUUACUGACGCUGAGGAGCGAAAGCGUGGGGAGCGAACAGG